rnacentral:rRNA from 1 species
GCAAGCCUGACGGAGCAAUACCGCGUGAGGGAGGAAGGCUCUUGGGUCGUAAACCUCUUUUCUCAGGGAAGAACAAAAUGACGGUACCUGAGGAAUCAGCAUCGGCUAACUCCGUGCCAGCAGCCGCGGUAAUACGGAGGAUGCAAGCGUUAUCCGGAAUGAUUGGGCGUAAAGCGUCCGUAGGUGGUUAUGUAAGUCUGUGGUUAAAGCGUGGGGCUCAACCCCAUAAGGGCCAUGGAAACUACAAGACUUGAGUGAAGUAGGGGUAGAGGGAAUUCCCAGUGUAGCGGUGAAAUGCGUAGAGAUUGGGAAGAACACCGGUGGCGAAA